rnacentral:rRNA from 1 species
UAGGACGAACGCUGGCGGCGUGCCUAACACAUGCAAGUCGAGCGGGGACAUGCGACGGAAGAGAAGUUUCGGAUGGAUCUGAAGAUGUAUGUUCUAGCGGCGGACGGGUGAGUAACGCGUGAGCAACCUGUCCUUCACAGGGGGAUAACACAGCGAAAGUUGUACUAAUACCGCAUAAGACCACGGAGAGACAUCUCUCAGGGGUCAAAGGAGCAAUCCGGUGAAGGGUGGGCUCGCGUCCGAUUAGAUAGUUGGUGAGGUAACGGCCCACCAAGUCGACGAUCGGUAGCCGACCUGAGAGGGUGAUCGGCCACAUUGGGACUGAGACACGGCCCAAACUCCUACGGGAGGCAGCAGUGGGGAAUAUUGGGCAAUGGGGGGAAACCCUGACCCAGCAACGCCGCGUGAGGGAAGAAGGUUUUCGGAUCGUAAACCUCUGUCCCAGGUGAAGAGCAAGAGACGGUAACCUGGGAGGAAGCCCCGGCUAACUACGUGCCAGCAGCGGC